rnacentral:rRNA from 1 species
CGGCAGGCCUAACACAUGCAAGUCGAGCGGUAGCACAGAGAGCUUGCUCUCGGGUGACGAGCGGCGGACGGGUGAGUAAUGUCUGGGAAACUGCCUGAUGGAGGGGGAUAACUACUGGAAACGGUAGCUAAUACCGCAUAACGUCGCAAGACCAAAGUGGGGGACCUUCGGGCCUCAUGCCAUCAGAUGUGCCCAGAUGGGAUUAGCUAGUAGGUGGGGUAACGGCUCACCUAGGCGACGAUCCCUAGCUGGUCUGAGAGGAUGACCAGCCACACUGGAACUGAGACACGGUCCAGACUCCUACGGGAGGCAGCAGUGGGGAAUAUUGCACAAUGGGCGCAAGCCUGAUGCAGCCAUGCCGCGUGUAUGAAGAAGGCCUUCGGGUUGUAAAGUACUUUCAGCGGGGAGGAAGGCGAUAAGGUUAAUAACCUUGUCGAUUGACGUUACCCGCAGAAGAAGCACCGGCUAACUCCGUGCCAGCAGCCGCGGUAAUACGGAGGGUGCAAGCGUUAAUCGGAAUUACUGGGCGUAAAGCGCACGCAGGCGGUCUGUCAAGUCGGAUGUGAAAUCCCCGGGCUCAACCUGGGAACUGCAUUCGAAACUGGCAGGCUAGAGUCUUGUAGAGGGGGGUAGAAUUCCAGGUGUAGCGGUGAAAUGCGUAGAGAUCUGGAGGAAUACCGGUGGCGAAGGCGGCCCCCUGGACAAAGACUGACGCUCAGGUGCGAAAGCGUGGGGAGCAAACAGGAUUAGAUACCCUGGUAGUCCACGCCGUAAACGAUGUCGAUUUGGAGGUUGUGCCCUUGAGGCGUGGCUUCCGGAGCUAACGCGUUAAAUCGACCGCCUGGGGAGUACGGCCGCAAGGUUAAAACUCAAAUGAAUUGACGGGGGCCCGCACAAGCGGUGGAGCAUGUGGUUUAAUUCGAUGCAACGCGAAGAACCUUACCUGGUCUUGACAUCCACAGAACUUAGCAGAGAUGCUUUGGUGCCUUCGGGAACUGUGAGACAGGUGCUGCAUGGCUGUCGUCAGCUCGUGUUGUGAAAUGUUGGGUUAAGUCCCGCAACGAGCGCAACCCUUAUCCUUUGUUGCCAGCGGUUAGGCCGGGAACUCAAAGGAGACUGCCAGUGAUAAACUGGAGGAAGGUGGGGAUGACGUCAAGUCAUCAUGGCCCUUACGACCAGGGCUACACACGUGCUACAAUGGCAUAUACAAAGAGAAGCGACCUCGCGAGAGCAAGCGGACCUCAUAAAGUAUGUCGUAGUCCGGAUUGGAGUCUGCAACUCGACUCCAUGAAGUCGGAAUCGCUAGUAAUCGUAGAUCAGAAUGCUACGGUGAAUACGUUCCCGGGCCUUGUACACACCGCCCGUCACACCAUGGGAGUGGGUUGCAAAAGAAGUAGGUAGCUUAACCUUCGGGAGGGCGCUUACCACUUUGUGAUUCAUGACUGGGGUG